rnacentral:rRNA from 1 species
CCUACGGGAGGCAGCAGUGGGGAAUAUUGGACAAUGGGCGAAAGCCUGAUCCAGCAAUGCCGCGUGAGUGAUGAAGGCCUUAGGGUUGUAAAGCUCUUUUACCAGGGAUGAUAAUGACAGUACCUGGAGAAUAAGCUCCGGCUAACUCCGUGCCAGCAGCCGCGGUAAUACGGAGGGAGCUAGCGUUGUUCGGAAUUACUGGGCGUAAAGCGUACGUAGGCGGUUAUUCAAGUCAGAGGUGAAGGCCUGGAGCUCAACUCCAGAACUGCCUUUGAAACUAGAUAGCUAGAAUCUUGGAGAGGUGAGUGGAAUUCCGAGUGUAGAGGUGAAAUUCGUAGAUAUUCGGAAGAACACCAGUGGCGAAGGCGACUCACUGGACAAGUAUUGACGCUGAGGUACGAAAGCGUGGGGAGCAAACAGGAUUAGAUACCCUGGUAGUCCACGCCGCAAACGAUGAUAACUAGCUGUUCGGGCUCUACGAGCUUGAGUGGCGCAGCUAACGCAUUAAGUUAUCCGCCUGGGGAGUACGGUCGCAAGNUUAAAACUCAAAUGAAUUGACGG